GUCACGAAAGGAGGAGUCACGGUGUCCUUUAUAAAACAGCGUUCAUCAGUUUCUGAUCGUGAACAGUUCUUUACGCCACCUCGUUGCUACUCUUCUCGUCAUCUGUUUUGUUGUUGUUGAGACCUAUAGGCUCGAUAGGACUUCAUCAGGAGAAGACCCGCGAAUUGCAUUCCAAUUUCCAAGAUGGCGCACAAGAUUAUUUUCAUUUCCAUAUUGCUGUGCUGUGUUUUCGUUGAUGUCAUGUCUCAAAACGGCAUAAACAAUGCUGAACAUUUCGAAGAUAACUAUCCUCUGGAUGAAGCUUCGGUACAACUGUGUCUCCAAAUGAACUUUCCUGUGGAAUUCUGCACAACUAAACAUGGUGCACAAAAGGAGCAAUCCUUCGAGAAAAGGUUGUUCUAACCGGGUCCAAUUGGUUUCCAUCGUUGAUUUGAGAUUACAGAACAAAUGUUGUUUGUAUGAUGCACAGGACGCAUUUUUUUUUUCGAUGGUAUACCCUGAUUGUAAAACAACACAGAGUAAAAAUAAAGAGCGAAUAUCAACAAU